AUAUAUAUAUACAGGCAUGUCACAGAAGUUUUACGAAAUCGAUUUAAUUCACCUUUUCCAAAUCGUUACGAUUUGCUUUUGCUUCUUCAGCACUCGUACGUUUUGACUAAUCCGGAAAAAAAUCAUUUCACAUUUUUGAAAUAAAAAUAUGGUAACUCCAUGAAAAAAAAGUCGUAAACAAAUUAUUGACAAUUAAAAAAGGAGUUUAAAUUGUUUUUUAUAAUAUAAACACCAAAAGUAAAAAUGCCAGGGGCUUCAAUACUUGCUGUAAUGGAUGAAGAAAUAAAUCAGCGGUCUACUGAAAAAAUUCGUCGCCGGACAUUGAGGAACGCAUCAGAUCCUUUAUCUCACUCAAAUGCAGAAUUUAUAACUUAUUAUCGACAGCAAAGCUGUCAAUUCCGUCCAUAGAGAAUCAACAACAACCUUAUCACCUUUUACAUAGCCCCUGGCAAUAUCGUGAUGUUUAUCCAUAAAAUUGAUAAAAAUUUUGUCCUGUUUAACGUUUCGGUGUUUGCCCCUAAAGUAUAAAAUAAAUUAAAUAAACAGUUUUUGACGAAAAUUUAGAAAUAUGUAUGUAAAUACUUACAUUUUUGCCCGAUUGACUGAAGCGCUCUGUCUCAAACCCAACAAUUAAUUGUUUUUUUGUUUUUCCCCUUUCUUGCUUUUUGGUCUGUCAGUUGUACAUUUCUACACCUUCUUCUUCAACACAUAUGGCAAUAAUUCAACAAUACAAGUCUGCCGUUCAUUUCUGCAUA